GAGAGAGAGAGAGAGAGAGAGAGACAGCGUGAGAGGAGGACGUUUCGUGUCACACGUGUGAAUUCCCACCUACCUUCCAGUAAGGACGUGACCCACAGGAGAGGAGCUCUACCUUCCUGGGUGCCAGCUCUGGAAAGCGGCUGAUUCCAGGCAGGACAGCUUUUCUCAGUGUCCUCCCUGCGGAUCACUGCGAUUUGUGAUUCCUCAGAAAUGCCUGUGCCAGGGCAGCCAGACGAAGGGAAUCUCUGAGGAAGCUCCCCAAAUGCUGCCGCAGCUUCCACCCUCCAGAGUGGGGCCACUCAAUUCCCAUUGACUUCAGCCUUGACUUCCUCUGUUGUUCAGGACAAUAAAAGCUGAUGAUUUUAUUUAUUUAAAAAAUAUUCAUUUAUUUUUGAAUCAUACUUAACAUGGUCCAAAUUUAAAAGGUUUCUGUGUCUUCCGUUUCUGGCCUAGGUUCCAUGGUCCACCACUUCAGCCUGUCAUCUCCCUUGACCUCUGGUCCUUUAGUGCAGCUUACCCAGAAGAACCUCAAAGCAAACUCUUCCUCCUCUGCCCCACUUCCCAGACUGCUGAGCCCAUAAAGGUAGUAAAGAGGAAGUCAGAUUCCGAGCUUGAGAAAGAGUUGAUGUGCUGUUCGUGGUGGCUUUAUUUUAAAAUGAAGGGGCCAUAUGGCAAGGAAUUUGGCAGCUUCUCAGAGCUGAAAGCAAUCCCUCGCCGACAGCCAGCAAGAAAAUGGGCACCUCAGUCCUACACUUGCAAGGAAAUCAGUUCUGCUAAGAGUCGCAAUGACCCUGGACGUGCAUUCUUCUCUAGAGCCUUCAGGUAAUAGCCUAGCCCUGCCCACACCUUAUUUUGGUAUUAUGAAGUGCUAAGCAGUGAACCCAGUCUAGUCUACCCAGAUUUCUGACCCACAGACCUGUGAGAUAAUAAAUGGGUAUUAUUUUUCACUUUUUAAAAAAUUCAUAAACUUUUACAGCAGAUUUAGGUUCACAACAGAACUAAACAGAAAGUACAGAGGUUUCCCAAAGAUCUUCUGUCCCCAAGCACCCACAACACUCCCUUCCCCACAACUAUCAACACCACAAU